rnacentral:rRNA from 1 species
CAGCAGCCGCGGUAAUACGAAGGGGGCUAGCGUUGUUCGGAAUUACUGGGCGUAAAGCGCACGUAGGCGGACAUUUAAGUCAGGGGUGAAAUCCCGGGGCUCAACCCCGGAACUGCCUUUGAUACUGGGUGUCUAGAGUAUGGAAGAGGUGAGUGGAAUUCCGAGUGUAGAGGUGAAAUUCGUAGAUAUUCGGAGGAACACCAGUGGCGAAGGCGGCUCACUGGUCCAUUACUGACGCUGAGGUGCGAAAGCGUGGGGAGCAAACAGGAUUAGAUACCCCCGUAGUCCCUGUCUCUUAUAA